AGAUGCAUGGUGUUGUGGUUUGAGUGCUGGACUACAACUCUGGAGAUCAGGGUUUGAAUCCCUGUUCAGCCA